CCCAAUGCAGGCCACAAGUUUAUUAAUGAUUCAUGGGAAAAGAACAAUCAUCCUGCUGGCAGCGGCACAUGUAAUUAACCAGCUUCACAGAGAGCUGGCCUUCUACACAUCUCCCAUUUGCAGACCACAGAACUACCUGACAUAGUCACACUGGGUUUCCAGUGACAUCUUCCAAUUGGAAAAGGGAUAUCCAAAAUAGUGACCUCAACCCACUAGGUACUCAGCCAGCACAAUAGAGGUGGCAGUGCUCUUGUGGCCACACCUGGCUGAGUGCUGGGUAACAUGAAAGAUGUCAGCCCUGACAGCAACAAGUAGCCAGCCCUGGGAUCAUACUGACUACCAUUAACUGCACACUGAGGUAAGUGGCUAAGCAGGGCCAUCCUUUAGGAAGCAAACCACAUAUUACUUCUCCAUCACAACUGAACCAAAGAAGAUGUUUCUGAGAAUUGGCCUACUUUGCAUGAUAGCAGUGAACCUCGGAUGGAGGGUUGGAAAGGUGAGAGUUCUAGGUAAGAAGCAACAACAUUCCUAUUUUCAUAUAUUUGAAAGAGAGAAGCAGCGGCUAGGUUAGCCAACUUGGCUCUGUAGUCAGUGUGAACUUCCCUCUGUAGAGACCUGGGAAUAAAAACCAGUUUUUACCCAUGCAAAUUGCUAUUUGCAACAAUGAAGUUCUAAAAUGAGCACUUUGUUGUGAAGGGCUUUAGUUGCACAUUUAAGAUGUGUUCUCUCUCACUUUUCCCAAGUGACAGACGGUAUGACCAGUGAAGGGGAACAGCACACAUACCUGAACAUACACACCUUCCAUGUGUACUUCCAGGAUUAAGAGAAGUGUGACUAGGAAAGAAGCAAAGAUGUCCAUAAAAAGUAGUGAGAAUAAGUUUGAGAACAAGCUGUCCCCUGUGACUGUGAAACCCUGUUGUUUGAGACAGGUUCAAGCUCCCACGGUGGAUAUUCAGGAUGACUAAAGAGGAGAGAGAAGCCAGAACUCUGUUUCAGGAGCAUCUACUAUACCUCAAUUAAAACAAAUGGCACCAGCUCCCCUAGCCCAACCCUUUGUUUUCCUCUUGAUAACACUUCCAUAUGUACUGGGCCACAAGCCCUAUCUAGCUCCUGGCAGCCCAGGAAGAUGAACUUGCUUGGCAACAGCUGUCUCCAUGGGACUGCUUGUAGAGAACGUGCCUGUCAUCAGAAUAGACAGCAUCGGGCUAGAGAGAUGGCUCAGCGGUUAAGAGCACUGACUGCUCUUCCGAAGGUCCUGAGUUCAAAUCCCAGCAACCACGUGGUGGCUCACAACCAUCCGUAAUGAAAUCUGACAUCCUCUUCUGGUGUGUCUGAAGACAGCCACAGUGUACUCACAUAUAAUAAUAAAUAAAAAUAAACCUUUAAAAAAAAAGAAUAGACAGCAUCAAGUCUGGUGAGGGGCAGAGCCUGUGCCUAGUGUGUCUAUGAAGGGUUUGUAGGACCCUGUCGGCAAUAAUGCUCUCAGAGACAGCAAGUGCACUAGCCUUGCUUCAGGCCUCACUUUAAAUGACAUUCAAAUGAGUCCUGUGGAUCAUUUUGGCGGAAAGAUGCAAGAAGAAAUCAUGUUUGAGUCUUUCCAUCUUUACCCUGGGACUGAUCUGGGUCAGGACUAAAGAUGAAAGCAAGAGAGGACCAUGCCAGGAGCGCCUUGGCAUUGCCAAGGGUGCUGCUGCUGCUACUUGGGGGAGGAAGGUACAAUUUCAGGUCCACCAAGCACUAUAUUUCUUAAUUUUUGAUGGAACAACAGUACAAAAAACAAGCUGACCUGGCAGAGAAAAAUACAAAUGCCUCUCAAAGAAGAGUUUGCAACAGUGGAGACCAGCUCCUAAGGGAAAGGUACAAUGCUUCUGCUGAAUAGGAUUUUCUUUCCAGGCACAGAAUCACACCCCGGAGACCCUCUCCUCCAUGUUUCAAAGAGUCCACAUCUCUUCUGUUCUAUGCCAUGCCUGUCCCACCCUCAUUGCCAGCAGCAGUGACAGAUGUGGACACUAUUUCUGGAGGGCACUGAGGCCUAUCAAACCUACACUAGAUAGCCCCUAUGACACACAGGUAAUAGGAUCUUGGCCAAGCCAAUGACAAAUUAGCCCUAGCAACUAUUUCAGAAGAAUGGAUGUAAUUCUAUGCUUGACUGACUAUGAAAGUCCUCAGUAGAAGAACAGCAGAGCUGAGCCAGCAGCUCUGCAGAAAGGAACCCUACCGGAGCCAGCAAACAGGCCAAGCUUGCUGAGGAAGGCCACUGGGACUUAAAACUGACAGAGGGACCCAGCAGGCAGGGGAAGGAGGAAAAAAGAGCAUCAUGACAGCAGGACUCAUUUAAAACUUUUGCUGUAACCACCACUCCUUUUGAGACAAGGUCUCACUGUGGAAUGUAGGCUGGCCUGGAACUCAGGGCCAUCUUGCCUCUGUCUCCUCAAUGCUACAACUGAAGGUAUGCACCACUACACCUGGCUUAUGAUGCUAUUUUCAUUUAGAGGCUGGGAUGGGAUUUGAGGUUUCUUUUCCCAGGGGAUUGAUAAGUAGCUGGGAAGAGCUUGAAGCUCAAGAGUGAAGAGUCAGAGCAGUUUGAU